rnacentral:rRNA from 1 species
UACGUAGGGCGCAAGCGUUGUCCGGAAUUAUUGGGCGUAAAGAGCUCGUAGGCGGCUUGUCGCGUCUGUUGUGAAAGCCCGGGGCUUAACCCCGGGUCUGCAGUGGAUACGGGCAGGCUAGAGGCAGGUAGGGGAGAACGGAAUUCCCGGUGUAGCGGUGAAAUGCGCAGAUAUCGGGAGGAACACCGGUGGCGAAGGCGGGUCUCUGGACAGUUCCUGACGCUGAGGCACGAAGGUCAGGGGAGCAAACGGG